ACGGGCAUAUCAGAUUGAAGCACCGGUUCCCGUAAGGUCUCUGAUGUUAAGCAACGCCGAGUUUGGUCAGUAUCUAAAUGGGUAACCCCUUGGGAAUAAUAGGUGCUGUAAU